AGUGAACGCUGGCGGUAGGCCUAACACAUGCAAGUCGAACGGCAGCACGGUAAGAGCUUGCUCUUACGGGUGGCGAGUGGCGGACGGGUGAGGUAUACAUCGGAAUCUACUUUUUCGUGGGGGAUAACGUAGGGAAACUUACGCUAAUACCGCAUACGACCUACGGGUGAAAGCAGGGGAUCUUCGGACCUUGCGCGAUUGAAUGAGCCGAUGUCGGAUUAGCUAGUUGGCGGGGUAAAGGCCCACCAAGGCGACGAUCCGUAGCUGGUCUGAGAGGAUGAUCAGCCACACUGGAACUGAGACACGGUCCAGACUCCUACGGGAGGCAGCAGUGGGGAAUAUUGGACAAUGGGCGCAAGCCUGAUCCAGCCAUACCGCGUGGGUGAAGAAGGCCUUCGGGUUGUAAAGCCCUUUUGUUGGGAAAGAAAAGCAGCAGGUUAAUACCCCGCUGUUCUGACGGUACCCAAAGAAUAAGCACCGGCUAACUUCGUG
rnacentral:rRNA from 1 species